GUUUGAUAGUUGGUCCAGCUCAUACUAUAGAUAUUCCUAAUGUUUCAGAAAACGAAGUGUAAAAUGUUGCUUGAUAGUGGUAAAUAUACCUAUUUCAGUAUUCCUGGACGGGCUAGAAAACUGCUGCAAUCAAAUGGAGAUUUAAAACCUGUCUAACAAAUAACAGAUGAAUUUUUCAAGUGCGUUCUUGAUGUCACACUUUUUUUUUCUUAUUGGCUACAAUUUAAAGUCGAUUCAACAGUUGACAUGUCUUUCGGCGCCGUAUUGAAAUAUUGGAAUUUACAAAUAUUGAUGUAUUAUGAUCGAAAAUAAAACAACACCUAC
rnacentral:lncRNA from 1 species